rnacentral:siRNA from 1 species
CACUCUAAUGCCUUUUUC